AUUCACACCCACCAACGCCAGGGUAUUACAAGCCUUAGCUUAAAACCCAAAGGACUUGACGGUGUCCCAUCCACCUAGAGGAGCCUGUUCCAUAAUCGAUAAUCCCCGCUAUACCUAACCACCCCUUGCCAAUCAGUCUGUAUACCUCCGUCGUAAACUUACCAUAUGAAUGCUUACAGUAAGUUUAAUGGCCACAAACACCAAUACGUCAGGUCAAGGUGCAGCUCAUGAGAUGGCGGACAAUGGGCUACAGUUUCUAUACUAGAAUAAACGAAACGCUGCAUGAAACACAGCCACGAAGGCGGAUUUAGUAGUAAAAAGAAAAUAGUGUGUUCUUUUUAACUAGGCCCUGGGACGUGU
rnacentral:rRNA from 1 species